rnacentral:rRNA from 1 species
UACGGAGGGUGCAAGCGUUAUCCGGAUUCAUUGGGUUUAAAGGGAGCGUAGGUGGUCUUAUAAGUCAGUGGUGAAAUCUCUGGGCUUAACCCAGAAAUUGCCAUUGAUACUGUAGGACUUGAGUACAGUUGCCGUUGGCGGAAUAUGACAUGUAGUGGUGAAAUACAUAGAGAUGUCAUAGAACACCGAUUGCGAAGGCAGCUAACGAAGCUGUAACUGACGCUGAGGCUCGAAAGUGCGGGGAUCAAACAGG